UACGGAAGGGGCUAGCGUUGUUCGGAAUUACUGGGCGUAAAGAGCGCGUAGGCGGCUUACCAAGUUGGGGGUGAAAUCCCGGAGCUCAACUCCGGAACUGCCUUCAAAACUGGUAGGCUCGAGUCCGGAAGAGGGGCGUGGAAUUCCCAGUGUAGAGGUGAAAUUCGUAGAUAUUGGGAAGAACACCGGUGGCGAAGGCGGCGCCCUGGUCCGGUACUGACGCUGAGGCGCGAAAGCUAGGGGAGAAAACGGG
rnacentral:rRNA from 1 species